rnacentral:misc_RNA from 1 species
CACAACAAGCUGGGGCUUGGCUGACUGGCUCAGGCGACUGCUACACUCGACUGCAUCCCCUGUCUACCUGCUCAGCCCGUCCGCACGCGCUCUUCCCGCCGCACCCGAACCUUUUCCUCGACAUCCUGGAUCCCAGCUUCGCCCUUCCCACCGCCCGUAUCUCCAUUCAGCCAUGCAAUCACACCGCGUUGAGCGCCA